AACGAACGCUGGCGGCGUGCCUAAUACAUGCAAGUCGAGCGGACAGAAGGGAGCUUGCUCCCGGAAGUUAGCGGCGGACGGGUGAGUAACACGUGGGCAACCUACCCUGUAGAUCGGGAUAACAUCGAGAAAUCGGUGCUCAUACCGGAUAAUCAUUUGAAGUGCAUGCUUCGAAUGUAAAAGAUGGCUCCGGCUAUCACUACGGGAUGGGCCCGCGGCGCAUUAGCUAGUUGGUAAGGUAAUGGCUUACCAAGGCAACGAUGCGUAGCCGACCUGAGAGGGUGAUCGGCCACACUGGGACUGAGACACGGCCCAGACUCCUACGGGAGGCAGCAGUAGGGAAUCUUCCGCAAUGGACGAAAGUCUGACGGAGCAACGCCGCGUGAGUGAUGAAGGUUUUCGGAUCGUAAAGCUCUGUUGUUAGGGAAGAACAAGUGCCGCUUGAAUAAGGCGGCACCUUGACGGUACCUAACCAGAAAGCCACGGCUAACUACGUGCCAGCAGCCGCCGUAAAAC
rnacentral:rRNA from 1 species